AACGAACGCUGGCGGCAUGCCUAACACAUGCAAGUCGAACGAGACCUUCGGGUCUAGUGGCGCACGGGUGCGUAACGCGUGGGAACCUGCCCUUAGGUUCGGAAUAACUCCCCGAAAGGGGUGCUAAUACCGGAUAAUGUCUUCGGACCAAAGGUUUAUCGCCUUUGGUUGGGCCGGCGUUGGAUUAGCUAGUUGGUAGGGUAAAAGCCUAUCAAGGCGACGAUCCAUAGCUGGUCUGAGAGGAUGAUCAGCGACACUGGGAGUGGGACACGGCCCAGACUCCUACGGGAGGCAGCAGAGGGGAAUAGUGGACAAUGGGCGGAAGCCUGAUGCAGCUAGGCCGGGUGAGUGAUGAAGGCCGGAGGGAUGUAAAGCGCGUUUACCCGGGAUGAUAAUGACAGUACCGGGAGAAUAAGCACCGGCUAACUCCGUG
rnacentral:rRNA from 1 species